rnacentral:rRNA from 1 species
CCUACGGGUGGCAGCAGUGAGGAAUAUUGGUCAAUGGACGAGAGUCUGAACCAGCCAAGUCGCGUGAAGGAUGACUGCCCUAUGGGUUGUAAACCUCUUUUAUAUGGGAAUAAAACGUUCCACGUGUGGGCUUUUGUAUGUACCAUAUGAAUAAGCAUCGGCUAACUCCGUGCCAGCAGCCGCGGUAAUACGGAGGAUCCGAGCGUUAUCCGGAUUUAUUGGGUUUAAAGGGUGCGCAGGUGGGUUGUUAAGUCAGUGGUGAAAGUUUGCGGCUCAACCGUAAGAUUGCAGUUGAAACUGGCAGUCUUGAGUACGGUAGAGGUGGGCGGAAUGCGUGGUGUAGCGGUGAAAUGCUUAGAUAUCGCGAAGAACUCCGAUUGCGAAGGCAGCUCGCUGGACUGCAACUGACGCUGAGGAUCGAAAGUGUGGGUAUCGAACAGGAUUAGAUACCCUUGUAGUC